rnacentral:rRNA from 1 species
AAUAGAUACCCAGGUAGUCCACGCCGUAAACGAUGAGUGCUAAGUGUUGGGGGGUUUCCGCCCCUCAGUGCUGCAGCUAACGCAUUAAGCACUCCGCCUGGGGAGUACGGUCGCAAGACUGAAACUCAAAGGAAUUGACGGGGGCCCGCACAAGCGGUGGAGCAUGUGGUUUAAUUCGAAGCAACGCGAAGAACCCUACCAGGUCUUGACAUCCCGGUGACCACUAUGGAGACAUAGUUUCCCCUUCGGGGGCAACGGUGACAGGUGGUGCAUGGUUGUCGUCAGCUCGUGUCGUGAGAUGUUGGGUUAAGUCCCGCAACGAGCGCAACCCUUAUUCUUAGUUGCCAUCAUUCAGUUGGGCACUCUAAGGAGACUGCCGGUGAUAAACCGGAGGAAGGUGGGGAUGACGUCAAAUCAUCAUGCCCCUUAUGACCUGGGCUACACACGUGCUACAAUGGACGGUACAAACGGUUGCCAACCCGCGAGGGGAGCUAAUCCGAUAAAACCGUUCUCAGUUCGGAUUGUAGGCUGCAACUCGCCUACAU